AAAGCUUCCCUCCUUCUGAGGGUUGUUUAUUCCAGUGUUCCUUCAGUUGAGUUUUCUGGGUACACAGCAGCCCUUGGCUUUCCAUCCCAUGUGCAGCCUCUGGCCCAGCACUUAGUCCACUCUCAGUCAUAGAGCUUAUCACACAGACUUGCUCCAGUGCCCACUUGUCCAACUGCCCCAAACUCCUGGAAACCAGAAAGAACACAGAUGUAUCUCAACUGAGUGCCUACCAUAUUUCUACAGGAGGAACUGUCUUCGCAUAAAAGCCCCUCUGCAGCUCCUUAAGCUGCUCCCCAUCGCUCGAAUUACCACCUGAGCUCUGCUUCCUGUCUGAUCAGCAGCAGCAUUUGAUUCUCAUAGGAGUGCGAACUCUUGUGAACUGCGCAUAUCCUACUGAUGCUUCAAUUGCCUCAUCUUUGGUCAACAAGAGCCUCUUCAAGACAUUGGCUUCUGAGCCCUUUUGACAUGACACUAUAGCUUUAUUGCUUUCUGGAAUGAAAAAGUCUUCUUGGUUCAUCUUGUAUAUUUUUUGCUCCAGACCUUGAAUCAGCUAUUUCUCCUAGGAGCCCUGGUUCUUUUGUGGGAAAUGACUUUCUGGAUGAUGUGUACUGAUGAUAUCACUCUUGGAUGGGCCUGCAAUGCAGAUGAGCUUAUGUGCAGAUGUAUUGAUUUUAUUAUUAAUAAAUGGAAGGGAUUUUAAUGGAACUGGCCCUGCUAUCUUAUAAUUGACACUGAA
rnacentral:lncRNA from 1 species